AGGCGACCUGCUCCCACUUACACCCCCGGUCAGCAAGUAUGGUUAUCCUCCCGAGACAUUCCCCUCAAAUCCAUGUCCAAGAAACUUUCUCCUCGUUACAUUGGUCCAUUUGAAAUCGAAACCAUCAUCAAACCUUCCGCUGUCCGUCUCCGUUUGCCUGCUUCCCUCUGCAUCCAUCCCACCUUCCAUGUUUCUCAAAUCAAGCCCGUCCAGACCAGCACACUCUGCCCUCCAGCCGAGCCCCCUCCACCCCCCCGUGACGUUGAUGGCCAUCCCGCUUAUUCUGUCCGCCGGAUCGUAGACUCCCGUCGGCGAGGGCGCGGCUGGCAGUACCUUGUCGAUUGGGAGGGCUACGGUCCGGAGGAACGCCUCUGGGUCCCAGGUUCCUUUAUCUUAGAUCCAUCCCUCAUUACGGACUACCGUUCCUCCCUUCCCUCCAGUUCCUCUAGGCCGCCAAGUGGCGACCGUUAAGGGGGGGGUACUGUCAUGUUCCGGGGUCUUUUAGCUCCUUUGUGGAGUUUUUGUGCAUGCACUCGUUUUUCUCCACCACUAGAUGGCGCCUUCACCAUCCGUCGGAGGGCGUGGAUGACGUCAUCCCACACCUGAUGCGAGUUUGGCUCAUCAGCGAGAUGUUCAAGAGGAGCUGACUGCCAGUCCUUCGGCGCCUGAGUGUUAGCCAGUCACGGUACCUCUGAGCCCCUAGAAGCUUGCUUCUGUUUUGCCUUGUUGAUCCACUCCUAGUGAAAGUUUUUCUUCGUUGCUUCUCCUGCCUCCAGGUGUUUCCUCCUGGCUCCUCUACAUCCGCUGAUCCUGAGCCUACCUGUCCGCCCUCCGACGUACUCCCGUUGCCUCCUGGAUCCCCGCUGUCAGACAAGACGACCACCUGGAACCUCUGAGAACAAACCCCAGACGCUGCAGUUACCCUCCCACUUCUCUAACCUGCCGAUCACAAUGAACUGUUUGAUUCCCUGAACCAGCCUCUCUCCCUGGACCCGACCCGAGCCAACUAUUCCUGCCAGCAGUGUUUUUCAAUAAAUUUAUCUUUUAUUUCACAUUG